UUUCCGUAGGUGAACCUGCGGAAGGAUCAUUAUCGAGUUUUGACUGGGUUGUAGCUGGCCUUCCGAUGCUUGAGCACGCCCUGCUCAUCCACUCUACACCUGUGCACUUACUGUGGGUAUCAGAUCGUGAAGCGUGCUCUUUUCCCGUAGCUUGUGAAGCGUGUCAGUGCCUGCGUUUAUCAUUAACACUAUAAAGUUUCAGAAUGUGUAUUACGAUGUAACGCAUCUAUAUACAACUUUCAGCAACGGAUCUCUUGGCUCUG
rnacentral:misc_RNA from 1 species